rnacentral:rRNA from 2 species
UGGGGAAUUUUGGACAAUGGGCGAAAGCCUGAUCCAGCAAUGCCGCGUGUGUGAAGAAGGCCUUCGGGUUGUAAAGCACUUUUGUCCGGAAAGAAAUAGCUCUGGUUAAUACCUGGGGUCGAUGACGGUACCGGAAGAAUAAGGACCGGCUAACUACGUGCCAGCAGCCGCGGUAAUACGUAGGGUCCAAGCGUUAAUCGGAAUUACUGGGCGUAAAGCGUGCGCAGGCGGUUGUGCAAGACCGAUGUGAAAUCCCCGAGCUUAACUUGGGAAUUGCAUUGGUGACUGCACGGCUAGAGUGUGUCAGAGGGGGGUAGAAUUCCACGUGUAGCAGUGAAAUGCGUAGAGAUGUGGAGGAAUACCGAUGGCGAAGGCAGCCCCCUGGGAUAACACUGACGCUCAUGCACGAAAGCGUGGGGAGCAAACAGG